GAUGAAGAACGCAGCGAAAUGCGAUAAGUAAUGUGAAUUGCAGAAUUCAGUGAAUCAUCGAAUCUUUGAACGCACAUUGCGCCCCCUGGUAUUCCGGGGGGCAUGCCUGUCCGAGCGUCAUUACAACCCUCAAGCUCUGCUUGGUGUUGGGCCCUGCCCGCUGCGGCCGGCCCUAAAGACAGUGGCGGUGCCGCCUGGCCCUGAGCGUAGUACAUCUCUCGCUCCAGUGCCCGGUGGUAGCCUGCCAGAACCCCAACUCUCGUGGUUGACCUCGGAUCAGGUAGGGAUACCCGCUGAACUUAAGCAUAUCAAUAAGCGGAGGA
rnacentral:misc_RNA from 1 species